UACGGGGGGGGCAAGCGUUGUUCGGAAUUACUGGGCGUAAAGGGUGCGUAGGCGGCUUUCUAAGUUGGAUGUGAAAACUAUGGGCUCAACCCAUAGCCUGCAUCCAAAACUGGAGAGCUUGGGUUCUGGAGGGGAAAGCGGAAUUCCUGGUGUAGCGGUGAAAUGCGUAGAGAUCAUGAGGAAGACCAGUGGCGAAGGCGGGUCUCUGGACAGUUCCUGACACUGAGACACGAAGGCCAGGGGAGCAAACGGG
rnacentral:rRNA from 1 species